rnacentral:rRNA from 1 species
UACGGGGGGAGCAAGCGUUGUUCGGAAUUACUGGGCGUAAAGGGCUCGUAGGCGGCCAACUAAGUCAGACGUGAAAUCCCUCGGCUUAACCGGGGAACUGCGUCUGAUACUGGAUGGCUUGAGUUUGGGAGAGGGAUGCGGAAUUCCAGGUGUAGCGGUGAAAUGCGUAGAUAUCUGGAGGAACACCAAUGGCGAAGGCAGCUCGCUGGGACGUGACUGACGCUGAGACGCGAAAGCGUGGGGAGCAAACAGG